UACAGAGGGUGCAAGCGUUAAUCGGAGUUACUGGGCGUAAAGGGCGCGUAGGCGGCUUCCUGCGUCCCACGUGAAAGCCCCUGGCUCAACCAGGGAGGGUCGUGGGAAACGGGGGAGCUGGAGGCAGCGAGAGGCUGGUGGAAUUCCCGGAGUAGUGGUGAAAUGCGUAGAGAUCGGGAGGAAUACCGGUGGCGAAGGCGGCCAACUGGACGAAAACUGACGCUGAGACACGAAAGCAUGGGGAGCAAACAGG
rnacentral:rRNA from 1 species